AUUGAACGCUGGCGGCAGGCUUAACACAUGCAAGUCGAGCGGGGUGAUGGUGCUUGCACUAUCACUAGCGGCGGACGGGUGAGUAAUGCUUAGGAAUCUGCCUAUUAGUGGGGGACAACAUCUCGAAAGGGAUGCUAAUACCGCAUACGUCCUACGGGAGAAAGCAGGGGAUCACUUGUGACCUUGCGCUAAUAGAUGAGCCUAAGUCGGAUUAGCUAGUUGGUGGGGUAAAGGCCUACCAAGGCGACGAUCUGUAGCGGGUCUGAGAGGAUGAUCCGCCACACUGGGACUGAGACACGGCCCAGAAUCCUACGGGAGGCAGCAGUGGGGAAUAUUGGACAAUGGGGGGAACCCUGAUCCAGCCAUGCCGCGUGUGUGAAGAAGGCCUUAUGGUUGUAAAGCACUUUAAGCGAGGAGGAGGCUCUUUUGGUUAAUACCCAAGAUGAGUGGACGUUACUCGCAGAAUAAGCACCGGCUAACUCUGUGCCAGCCGCCGCCGUAA
rnacentral:rRNA from 1 species